UGAAUACGAGACGCUAAGGCGUCGAAGUAGUGUAUGUCAUACUUCCAAGAAAAGCUUGCACUGUCAUAGAUAAAAAACGCCUGUACCAUAACCGACACAGGUGGGUAGGUAGAGUAUACUAAGGGGCGCGAGAUAACUCUCUCUAAGGAACUCGGCAAAAUAACUCCGUAACUUCGGGAGAAGGAGUGCCUUAUUCGUAAGGUUGCAAUAACAAGAUCCAAGCAACUGUUUAUCAAAAACACAGGUCUCCGCUAAGUCGUAAGACGAUGUAUGGGGGCCGACGCCUGCCCAGUGCCAGAAGGUUAAAGAAGUUGGUUAGCAAUUGCGAAGCUGAUAACUGAAGCCCUGGUGAACGGCGGCCGUAACAAUAACGGUCCUAAGGUAGCGAAAUUCCUUGUCGGGUAAGUUCCGACCCGCACGAAGGGCGUAAUGAUUUGGAUACUGUCUCGGAGAGGGGCUCGGUGAAAUAGACUUGUCUGUGAAGAUGCGGACUACCUGCACCAGGACAGAAAGACCCUAUGAAGCUUUACUGUAACUUGAAAUUGAAAUUGGACUUUAUUCGCGCAGUAUAGGUGGGAGGCGUUGAUUAUAAUCUUGUGGGAUUAUUGGAGCCAUCAGUGAGAUACCACUCUUGUAAUGUUAGAUUUCUAACUUUGAAUCAUUAUCUGGUCAAAGAACAGUUUCAGGCGGGCAGUUUGACUGGGGCGGUCGCCUCCUAAACGGUAACGGAGGCGUACAAAGGUUUCCUCUGAACGGUUAGAAAUCGUAUCUAGAGUGUAAAGGCAUAAGGAAGCUUGACUGUGAGACCUACAAGUCGAGCAGGGACGAAAGUCGGUCUUAGUGAUCUGACGGUACUGAGUGGAAAGGCCGUCACUCAACGGAUAAAAGUUACUCUAAGGAUAACAGGCUGAUCUCCCCCAAGAGUUCACAUCGACGGGGAGGUUUGGCACCUCGAUGUCGGCUCAUCGCAUCCUGGGGCGGUAGUACGUCCCAAGGGUUGGGCUGUUCGCCCAUGAAAGCGGUACGCGAGCUGGGUUCAGAACGUCGUGAGACAGUUCGGUCCAUAUCCGGUGUAGGCGUUAGAAUAUUGAGAGGAGCCUUCUUUAGUACGAGAGGACCGAGAAGGACAUACCUCUGGUGUACCAGUUAUCGUGCCAACGGUAAACGCUGGGUAGCUAUGUAUGGAGUGGAUAACCGCUGAAAGCAUCUAAGUGGGAAGCCCACCUCAAGAUAAGUAUUCUCAUU
rnacentral:rRNA from 1 species